CAGAUCCUACAGGAUAGCCUACAAUAAUUCUUAUCCUAACAGAUCCUACAGGAUAGCUUACAAUAAUUCUUAUCCUAACAGAUCCUAUAGGAUAGCCUUCAGUAAUCUUUAUCCCUACUAAUCCUGAAGGAAGCCUAAAGUAAUCCUUAUGCCUAUAGUUCCUGCAGGAUAACCCUCAGUAAACCUUAUCCCAACAGAUCCUGCAGGAAAGCUUGGAAGAUCCUUACAGAUCCUAGAAGACUUUAUAUAGUGGAAAGGGUGUCUGAGAAUUUAGACUACAGGGAAUUAGUUGUACCGGUGAUGAAGAUGACAAAUGGAUAUUUUUAUUGGUAUUGGAAAAUUUAGAAGGAUAGUGUGUUAUCAGGUCAGGAGGAGUUCUGUGUGAAAGUUAAAAUUGGGAAGCACCUGACAGAUAAAGACAAUCAAGAUGCCAUUAUAGAGGCCUAUCUGAUCAUGUCUUUAGGAGCCCAGUGGUGAAGCGAUUCCAGACGUGGAGCCACAGUGUGCUAGGUGUCAGGCUAGAGAGUUAGUACGGGAAGUGGUAACAAUCAUUAUUUUUAAUGUGUAUUGGAUUAAUCUGAUAAUUGUAAUUAAGUGUGUUAGGAAUUUAUCGAUUGCUUUUUUGUGUGUUUUGUAUGAGCAGUAAAACCAGGGUCAGUGAAUUGUGAGUGGCCGAGAUGGAGGAUUGGUGAGUGAGACGAACAGGAUGACCACGCGUGAAUAAACUGAGAUAAACGGCACCGUUAACAUGGUCUGAGAAGGAGUGAUUCACAAUGGAUUUAUUUGGAGAUGGUCCCUACAGAAAUCUGGACAGAAGGAA